rnacentral:rRNA from 1 species
CGCCGCGUGAGUGAAGAAGGUUUUCGGAUCGUAAAGCUCUGUUGUAAGUCAAGAACGAGUGUGAGAGUGGAAAGUUCACACUGUGACGGUAGCUUACCAGAAAGGGACGGCUAACUACGUGCCAGCAGCCGCGGUAAUACGUAGGUCCCGAGCGUUGUCCGGAUUUAUUGGGCGUAAAGCGAGCGCAGGCGGUUUGAUAAGUCUGAAGUUAAAGGCUGUGGCUCAACCAUAGUUCGCUUUGGAAACUGUCAAACUUGAGUGCAGAAGGGGAGAGUGGAAUUCCAUGUGUAGCGGUGAAAUGCGUAGAUAUAUGGAGGAACACCGGUGGCGAAAGCGGCUCUCUGGUCUGUAACUGACGCUGAGGCUCGAAAGCGUGGGGAGCGAACAGGAUUAGAUACCCUGGUAGUCCACGCCGUAAACGAUGAGUGCUAGGUGUUGGAUCCUUUCCGGGAUUCAGUGCCGCAGCUAACGCAUUAAGCACUCCGCCUGGGGAGUACGACCGCAAGGUUGAAACUC